UUCUGCUCCAUGGUACACACUAAAUAGCCGCAGUACUCUGACUGUGCAAAGGUAGCAUAAUCAAUUGGCCCCUGAUUAGGGUCUGGAAUGAACGACUGAAUGGAAAAUAGCUGUCUUAUAGUAUUAGCUCUAACUUGGUUGUAAGUGAAAAUCCUUACGCGGGUAUAAUAGACGAGAAGACCCUAGAAGCUUCUUAUUUAUUUUGUUGGGGCGACAGAACUACAUUUAACUAGUUCUAAAUAACGUGACGUUUGCGGGAAGAUUAAGCUACUCUAGGGAUAACAGCAUAAUGUAUCCGUUUGUGACCUCGAUGUUGGACUAGGUUAGAAGUCCCUUAGAAGGGGAUUUAUUAAGCUCUGUUCGAGCAAGUACACCUACGUGAUCUGAUUUCAGACCGGA
rnacentral:rRNA from 1 species